rnacentral:lncRNA from 1 species
UAUGGGUCUGUCUAUGGGUCUCAGUGGGUCUCUAUGGGUCUCAGUGGGUCUCUAUGGGUCUCUAUGGGUUUCAGUGGGUCUGUGUGGGUCUCUAUGGGUCUCUAUGGGUCUCAGUGGGUCUGUGUGGGUCUCAGUGGGUCUCAGUGGGUCUCAGUGGGUCUCUAUGGGUCUCAGUGGGUCUCAGUGGGUCUCUAUGGGUCUCAGUGGGUCUCUAUGGGUCUCAGUGGGUCUCUAUGGGUCUGCCUAUGGGUCUGUGUGGGUCUGUGUGGGUCUGUGUGGGUCUGUGUGGGUCUCAGUGGGUCACAGUGGGUCUCUAUGGGUCUCAGUGGGUCUCAGUGGGUCUCAGUGGGUCUCUGUGGGUCUCUGUGGGUCUCUGUGGGUCUCUAUGGGUCUCAGUGGUCUGUGUGGGUCUCAGUGGGUCUGUGUGGGUCUCUAUGGGUCUCAGUGGGUCUCAGUGGGUCUGUGUGGGUCUCAGUGGGUCUCAGUGGGUCUGUGUGGGUCUCAGUGGGUCUCAGUGGGUCUGUGUGUGGGUCGCAGCCGCUCUAAGGACGUGGUGGAGCCGCUGGUGCGGCCGCAGUGGGGCAGUGGGUCUCAGUGGGUCUCUAUGGGUCUCAGUGGGUCUCAGUGGGUCAGUGUGGGUCUGUCUAUGGGUCGCAGCCGCUCUAAGGACGUGGUGGAGCCGCUGGUGCGGCCGCAGUGGUUCGUGCGCUGCUCGGAGCUGGCGCGUGGGGCCAGCGCCGCCGUGCGCCGUGGGGAGCUGAGACUCAGA